CCCUGACAGUUGCAUCGUGUAACUGACACUAGCCAAGACAGGAGAAACACAUAUG
rnacentral:sRNA from 12 species